rnacentral:rRNA from 1 species
GACGGAGGAUGCAAGUGUUAUCCGGAAUCACUGGGCGUAAAGCGUCUGUAGGUGGUCAAAUAAGUCAACUGUUAAAUCUUGAGGCUCAACCUCAAAACCGCAGUCGAAACUAUUAGACUAGAGUAUAGUAGGGGUAAAGGGAAUUUCCAGUGGAGCGGUGAAAUGCGUAGAGAUUGGAAAGAACACCGAUGGCGAAGGUACUUUACUGGGCUAUGACUAACACUCAGAGACGAAAGCUAGGGUAGCAAAUGGG